rnacentral:lncRNA from 1 species
UUGAUAAUAAAACAUCAACUUUUCAUAAUAGUUAAUAUAAAAAUUUAAGAUGCAUUUUUAAUAAUCAAAGAUAACAAAUCAAAUCAAAUAAGAGUAUCACAAUAUCAUGCAACAACAUGCAAGUUAUCAAUAUUUUUCUAACAACAUGCAAUCAAAAUUCCUAAGUACACCUAUGAAUAACAAGGUUUUCUAUAUACAUUGAAGGGACCCCUAAGAGAUGAUUAUAUUCUAGCUUGUAAACUUCAUCCUUGAACCCUAGCUCAAAUUCAUCUCCUUCCUCCUUCUCUAAACUCCAUGGACACAAGAAAAAUCAAGAGUUUUGUUUUGUGUUGGUCUUCAUAUAUAAUUAUUGUUUGUGGGAAAGGUUAGAGUUCCCCUUCUUCUUCCUUCAACGGUCUCUCUUUUCCCCUCUAUUUUUUCUUCUUUCUUUCUACCUCUCGGUUCUGUCUCGCUCUCUCCGUAUGUUUUUUUCUCUUCUUUUCUUUUGAUUAGUAACGAAUGAGAAUUAAAAGAGAAAAAAAAAAAAAAAGAUGUAAAGGGCUGCAUGUAUUUUAAUUGGAGGAGGGAAGUGUGUAUGUGGUUUUUUGUUGUUGUUGUUAAUGAUGUGUUUGGGUAUGGGCCAAGAAGUGAAGGGGACUUAGUGGAGAAACCUCCAAUUUAUU